GACGAACGCUGGCGGCGUGCCUAAUACAUGCAAGUUGAGCGAUGAAGAUUGGUGCUUGCACCAAUUUGAAGAGCAGCGAACGGGUGAGUAACGCGUGGGGAAUCUGCCUUUGAGCGGGGGACAACAUUUGGAAACGAAUGCUAAUACCGCAUAACAACUUUAAACAUAAGUUUUAAGUUUGAAAGAUGCAAUUGCAUCACUCAAAGAUGAUCCCGCGUUGUAUUAGCUAGUUGGUGAGGUAAAGGCUCACCAAGGCGAUGAUACAUAGCCGACCUGAGAGGGUGAUCGGCCACAUUGGGACUGAGACACGGCCCAAACUCCUACGGGAGGCAGCAGUAGGGAAUCUUCGGCAAUGGACGAAGGUCUGACCGAGCAACGCCGCGUGAGUGAAGAAGGUUUUCGGAUCGUAAAACUCUGUUGGUAGAGAAGAACGUUGGUGAGAGUGGAAAGCUCAUCAAGUGACGGUAACUACCCAGAAAGGGACGGCUAACUACGU
rnacentral:rRNA from 1 species